rnacentral:rRNA from 1 species
GACGAACGCUGGCGGCGUGCUUAACACAUGCAAGUCGAACGGAAAGGCCCCCACUUUUUUGGUGGGGGUGCUCGAGUGGCGAACGGGUGAGUAACACGUGGGUGAUCUGCCCUGUACUUCGGGAUAAGCUUGGGAAACUGGGUCUAAUACCGGAUAGGACCAUGGUUUAGUGUCUCAUGGUGGAAAAAUUAUUGUUUUGGUGCAGGAUGAGCUCGCGGCCUAUCAGCUUGUUGGUGGGGUAAUGGCCUACCAAGGCGUCGACGGGUAGCCGGCCUGAGAGGGUGGACGGCCACAUUGGGACUGAGAUACGGCCCAGACUCCCAAGGGGGGCAGCAGGUGGGAAUAUUGCACAAUGGGCGCAAACCUGAUGCCGCGACGCCGCGUUGGGGAUGACGGCCGUCGGGUGGUAAACUCCUUUCGUUAGGGACGAAGCCGCACCUUUUUUGGGUGUGGUGACGGUACCUUUGUUAAGAAGCACCGGCUAACUACGUG